GACGAACGCUGGCGGCGUGCCUAACACAUGCAAGUCGAACGGAGUAAGGAGAGCUUGCUUUCCUUGCUUAGUGGCGAACGGGUGAGUAACGCGUGAGGAACCUGCCUUUCAGUGGGGGACAACAGUUGGAAACGACUGCUAAUACCGCAUAAUGUAUCGAAGGGGCAUCCCUAUGAUACCAAAGCUUUAUGUGCUGAAAGAUGGCCUCGCGUCUGAUUAGCUAGUUGGUGAGGUAACGGCUCACCAAGGCGACGAUCAGUAGCCGGCCUGAGAGGGUGAACGGCCACAUUGGGACUGAGACACGGCCCAAACUCCUACGGGAGGCAGCAGUGGGGAAUAUUGCACAAUGGGGGAAACCCUGAUGCAGCGACGCCGCGUGAGUGAAGAAGUAUUUCGGUAUGUAAAGCUCUGUCCUCAAGGAAGAUAAUGACGGUACUUGAGGAGGAAGCCCGGCUAACUACGUG
rnacentral:rRNA from 1 species